rnacentral:rRNA from 1 species
CAGUCGCCGCGGUAAUACAGAGGGUGCAAGCGUUAAUCGGAAUUACUGGGCGUAAAGCGCGCGUAGGUGGUUUGUUAAGUUGGAUGUGAAAGCCCCGGGCUCAACCUGGGAACUGCAUCCAAAACUGGCAAGCUAGAGUACGGUAGAGGGUGGUGGAAUUUCCUGUGUAGCGGUGAAAUGCGUAGAUAUAGGAAGGUACACCAGUGGCGAAGGCGACCACCUGGACUGAUACUGACACUGAGGUGCGAAAGCGUGGGGAGCAAACAGGAUUAGAUACCCGAGUAGUCCCUGUCUCUUAUAC